GGGAAGGUGGCUCAGUGGUAGAGUGCUUGCCUUGCAUGCACGAGGCCCUGGGUUUG
rnacentral:tRNA from 1 species